rnacentral:rRNA from 1 species
CCUACGGGUGGCAGCAGUGGGGAAUAUUGGGCAAUGGGCGCAAGCCUGACCCAGCAACGCCGCGUGAAGGAAGAAGGCUUUCGGGUUGUAAACUUCUUUUGUCAGGGAAGAGUAGGAGACGGUACCUGACGAAUAAGCCACGGCUAACUACGUGCCAGCAGCCGCGGUAAUACGUAGGUGGCAAGCGUUGUUCGGAUUUACUGGGUGUAAAGGGCGUGUAGCCGGGUUGACAAGUCAGAGGUGAAAUCCGACGGGUUAAACGCAGAACUGCAUUUGAAACUGUUGAUCUUGAGUACUGGAGAGGCAGACGGAAUUCGUGGUGUAGCGGUGAAAUGCGUAGAUAUUAGGAGGAACACCAGUGGCGAAGGCGGUCUGCUGGACAGCAACUGACGGUGAGGCGCGAAAGCGUGGGGAGCAAACAGGAUUAGAUACCCCAGUAGUC